rnacentral:rRNA from 1 species
CGGGCGGCAGCAGUGGGGAAUAUUGCACAAUGGACGCAAGUCUGAUGCAGCAACGCCGCGUGGAGGAUGACGCAUUUCGGUGUGUAAACUCCUUUUAUAGGGGAAGAUAAUGACGGUACCCUAUGAAUAAGCACCGGCUAACUCCGUGCCAGCAGCCGCGGUAAUACGGAGGGUGCAAGCGUUACUCGGAAUCACUGGGCGUAAAGGAUGCGUAGGCUGGAAAUCAAGUCGAAAGUGAAAUCCAACGGCUCAACCGUUGAACUGCUUUCGAAACUGGUUACCUAGAAUAUGGGAGAGGUAGAUGGAAUUAGUGGUGUAGGGGUAAAAUCCGUAGAUAUCACUAGGAAUACCGAUUGCGAAGGCGAUCUACUGGAACAUUAUUGACGCUGAGGCAUGAAAGCGUGGGGAGCAAACAGGAUUAGAUACCCGAGU